GACGAACGUUGGCGGCGUGCUUAACACAUGCAAGUCGAACGGAAAGGCCCUGCUUUUGUGGGGUGCUCGAGUGGCGAACGGGUGAGUAACACGUGAGUAACCUGCCCUUGACUUUGGGAUAACUUCAGGAAACUGGGGCUAAUACCGGAUAGGAGCUCCUGCUGCAUGGUGGGGGUUGGAAAGUUUCGGCGGUUGGGGAUGGACUCGCGGCUUAUCAGCUUGUUGGUGGGGUAGUGGCUUACCAAGGCUUUGACGGGUAGCCGGCCUGAGAGGGUGACCGGCCACAUUGGGACUGAGAUACGGCCCAGACUCCUACGGGAGGCAGCAGUGGGGAAUAUUGCACAAUGGGCGGAAGCCUGAUGCAGCAACGCCGCGUGCGGGAUGACGGCCUUCGGGUUGUAAACCGCUUUCGCCUGUGACGAAGCGUGAGUGACGGUAAUGGGUAAAGAAGCACCGGCUAACUACGUGCCAGCAGCCGCGGUGAUACGUAGGGUGCGAGCGUUGUCCGGAUUUAUUGGGCGUAAAGGGCUCGUAGGUGGUUGAUCGCGUCGGAAGUGUAAUCUUGGGGCUUAACCCUGAGCGUGCUUUCGAUACGGGUUGACUUGAGGAAGGUAGGGGAGAAUGGAAUUCCUGGUGGAGCGGUGGAAUGCGCAGAUAUCAGGAGGAACACCAGUGGCGAAGGCGGUUCUCUGGGCCUUUCCUGACGCUGAGGAGCGAAAGCGUGGGGAGCGAACAGGCUUAGAUACCCUGGUAGUCCACGCUGUAAACGGUGGGUACUAGGUGUGGGGUCCAUUCCACGGGUUCCGUGCCGUAGCUAACGCUUUAAGUACCCCGCCUGGGGAGUACGGCCGCAAGGCUAAAACUCAAAGGAAUUGACGGGGCCCCGCACAAGCAGCGGAGCAUGCGGAUUAAUUCGAUGCAACGCGUAGAACCUUACCUGGGUUUGACAUGGAUCGGGAGUGCUCAGAGAUGGGUGUGCCUCUUUUGGGGUCGGUUCACAGGUGGUGCAUGGCUGUCGUCAGCUCGUGUCGUGAGAUGUUGGGUUAAGUCCCGCAACGAGCGCAACCCUUGUUCACUGUUGCCAGCACGUUAUGGUGGGGACUCAGUGGAGACCGCCGGGGUCAACUCGGAGGAAGGUGGGGAUGACGUCAAGUCAUCAUGCCCCUUAUGUCCAGGGCUUCACGCAUGCUACAAUGGCUGGUACAGAGAGUGGCGAGCCUGUGAGGGUGAGCGAAUCUCGGAAAGCCGGUCUCAGUUCGGAUUGGGGUCUGCAACUCGACCUCAUGAAGUCGGAGUCGCUAGUAAUCGCAGAUCAGCAACGCUGCGGUGAAUACGUUCCCGGG
rnacentral:rRNA from 1 species